UAUCAAUCGCACCUCUGUCAUUUUUAUGAUAGCGAGUCUCCAUCUUCAAAGCCCACAGGUUUUGACAGAAUUAAUAGUAUCGUACACUUUGAUGUCUUCAUCGGAUAAAGAUUCUACUUUCCAGGUCAUACGGUAUGAUGUUCACAAAUUUUACUUAUAAAAUAUUUUAGUACGUCGAACCAUCAUGGAAAUUCUUUAAAGACAUUAUUUUAUUGGAUUGGUUAUACAAUGAUAUUAGAUAUUUCAUUCAAAUAAGUUUAGUUUUAAA
rnacentral:misc_RNA from 1 species